UGCCUGGGAGCCCCUGGCCAGGCCCUGUGCCAUGGCACAGCUCCCAGAGCAGGUGGGAGCAUCCCUGAGGGAUAACCCAGGAGCAUCCCUGACCUGAACCCUGGGACCAUCCCCUAUCCAAGAGCAAACACCGAACCAGAGCACCCGAGGGAGGCAGGAGCAAGGCGGAGGAGAGCACAACUGGGGACACUGGGCAAGACGUCACCAGGCAGAGGGGAUGCACCAGCAGUCUCUGGUCCCUGCUCCGGAGCAUCCCAGACCCGUGUCAUCCUGGGCUGUCCGGGAGCCUGUUGCCCAACUCACACCUCAGUCUGAAAGAGCUUUCCCUGCUCCUCUUAUCAGUAGCACCGGGAUCUUGAUAAGAAUAAGAGAUUAAAGGGAAAAACAUUUGCUUUUCUGGGCUCAGGGAGAGCUAGGCAGCACAGCACUGCAAAACCAGGCAAAAGGCCCCAAAAUGACACCUCUCCAGCCGCCCGGGGUGUCACCGGCUCCGGCCGUGCCGGGCUCUCCCCGCCGCCUUUCGCAAUCGCAGCUCGGCACAGCUCUGCUUGCACAUGCAAACCAGGGAAAGGAGAGAUUGCAACACCUGAGGAGCAGCAAAAGAGAGAAACGAAGUCUGGCUUUUCUGCCCCGUGUGCACAGUUUUCAGUGCCUUUUCCUUGUCCUCCCUGUCAACUCAUCGGCUCCGAUUCCGGUGCCUUUUGCCAUGAAACUUCUGAACGCUUGGGAACGUGGCCAGAGAGGAGACACGGAGAAACUACUCAUGAAUCAGCCUGGAAGAAUCUCUGCCCACCUGCUCACAACUAAUCUCUGGCUCCAUCACAAGAAUAAUAGAUAAGCAGCCAUGUCACAUAUAAUAAAACUAUUGAAGGCC